AUUGCCCUAGUAACGGCGAGUGAAGCGGCAACAGCUCAAAUUUGAAAUCUGGCGUCUUUGGCGUCCGAGUUGUAAUUUGCAGAGGGCGCUUUGGCAUUGGCAGCGGUCCAAGUUCCUUGGAACAGGACGUCACAGAGGGUGAGAAUCCCGUACGUGGUCGCUAGCCUUUACCGUGUAAAGCCCCUUCGACGAGUCGAGUUGUUUGGGAAUGCAGCUCUAAAUGGGAGGUAAAUUUCUUCUAAAGCUAAAUACUGGCCAGAGACCGAUAGCGCACAAGUAGAGUGAUCGAAAGAUGAAAAGCACUUUGGAAAGAGAGUUAAAAAGCACGUGAAAUUGUUGAAAGGGAAGCGCUUGCAGCCAGACUUGCCUGUAGUUGCUCAUCCGGGUUUCUACCCGGUGCACUCUUCUAUAGGCAGGCCAGCAUCAGUUUGGGCGGUUGGAUAAAGGUCUCUGUCAUGUACCUCUCUUCGGGGAGAACUUAUAGGGGAGACGACAUGCAACCAGCCUGGACUGAGGUCCGCGCAUCUGCUAGGAUGCUGGCGUAAUGGCUGUAAGCGGCCCGUCUUGAAACACGGACCAAGGAGUCUAACAUCUAUGCGAGUGUUUGGGUGUCAAGCCCGAGCGCGUAAUGAAAGUGAACGGAGGUGGGAACCUUUCGGGGUGCACCAUCGACCGAUCCUGAUGUCUUCGGAUGGAUUUGAGUAAGAGCAUAGCUGUUGGGACCCGAAAGAUGGUGAACUAUGCUUGAAUAGGGUGAAGCCAGAGGAAACUCUGGUGGAGGCUCGCAGCGGUUCUGACGUGCAAAUCGAUCGUCAAAUUUGGGCAUAGGGGCGAAAGACUAAUCGAACUAUCUAGUAGCUGGUUCCUGCCGAAGUUUCCCUCAGGAUAGCAGUAACGUUUUCAGUUUUAUGAGGUAAAGCGAAUGAUUAGAGGCCUGGGGGUUGAAACAACCUU
rnacentral:rRNA from 2 species